CAGCCGCCACGGUAAUACGAAGGGGGCUAGCGUUGCUCGGAAUGACUGGGCGUAAAGGGCGCGUAGGCGGCUAUGACAGUCAGGCGUGAAAGUCCUGGGCUCAACCUGGGGUGGUCGCUUGAUACGUUGUGGCUAGAGUGGGAAGAGGGUCGUGGAAUUCCCAGUGUAGAGGUGAAAUUCGUAGAUAUUGGGAAGAACACCGGUGGCGAAGGCGGCGACCUGGUCCUUUACUGACGCUGAGGCGCGAAAGCGUGGGGAGCAAACAGGAUUAGAUACCCCUGUAGUCCCUGUCUCUUAUACA
rnacentral:rRNA from 1 species